rnacentral:rRNA from 1 species
UACGUAGGGCGCAAGCGUUAUCCGGAAUUAUUGGGCGUAAAGAGCUCGUAGGCGGUUUGUCGCGUCUGCCGUGAAAACCCGAGGCUCAACCUCGGGCCUGCAGUGGGUACGGGCAGACUAGAGUGCGGUAGGGGAGAUUGGAAUUCCUGGUGUAGCGGUGGAAUGCGCAGAUAUCAGGAGGAACACCAAUGGCGAAGGCAGAUCUCUGGGCCGUAACUGACGCUGAGGAGCGAAAGCAUGGGGAGCGAACAGG